UAAAUUGUUGCCCAUCAAAUGAAUGAGAUUAAGUGCCACGAUCUUCUCCUUCAAUACCUUCAUCGUCGCAUCCUCAUUGACCUCUGAAUCUGACGAGAGUGUAAUGUCCAAGACCGCCUAGGAAAGGCGCCAGAGAGAGGAGACGUGUGAGGACCAAUGGGUAAGAGAUUUUUCUGAUUAAUAUUUCUUCAUAGCUUCAGAGAAAUAGAACAUAGGAGUAACUUUGAAGAAAAUGUAGGUUUUUAAUAGAAAAUGUUUUGCGAGAAAGAGUAUUGUAACUUCAUCUCUGAAAAGAUUUUAUUGACACUUUCUUAAAUGUGUCAACCAUAGUCGAAGUUACGAUACCCUUUAUCUCAAAUCGCUCUAGUCAAAGACUACAGUUUCUUAAAAGCUACCUUUAUGUUAUACCAUUCUUCAGAAAUGAAACUGCAUCAAUCAGCAAAAUCUCUUACGCACUGGUCUUCACACGUCUCCUCUCCCUGUCCCUCCUAGGCGGUCUUGGAGAAGACACUCUUGCUGGAUUCAGAAGUCAGUGAGGUGCGGUGAAGGAAUGAAGGAGAAGAUCAAAUGGCACUUGAUGUGAAAUGUUGUCGGAGAAGAAGAUAAUUUAUACAAUCUUUCAUUGUUGCUACUUCUU
rnacentral:lncRNA from 1 species